UACGGGGGGAGCAAGCGUUGUUCGGAUUUACUGGGCGUAAAGGGCGCGUAGGCGGCCACCGCAAGUCGACUGUGAAAUCUCCGGGCUUAACCCGGAAAGGUCAGCCGAUACUGCGGGGCUAGAGUGCAGAAGGGGCAACUGGAAUUCUCGGUGUAGCGGUGAAAUGCGUAGAUAUCGUGAGGAACACCAGAGGCGAAGGCGGCUUCCUGGACAAUUGCUGACGCUCAGGCACGAAAGCGUGGGGAGCAAAAGGG
rnacentral:rRNA from 1 species